rnacentral:sRNA from 1 species
UUUUAUUAUAUUUAUGUGAUCCAGUAUGUGUAAUCUUGAGUUUUACCAGAGUAUCAUAGGCUUUUGAUCCCGAACUUUUCUAAGGAACAAUAUUGAAUUCGAUAAGAUCAACAAACAUGACUUUGUAUAGAAGUAAGAAACAGUACCAUCAGCCAUAAUGUCAUAUCCGGUAAAUGUGAAUUCCCUGAUUGGCUGGAGCCGAGAGACAGAUCCCCUUGAGGGAUUGUCCUCUCGCUCGGACCUCUGGGAAUACGCCGUGCUUCGGCCCGGUGCGGUUCCGGGUUUUGCCACAGUUUCUUUGUCUGUUUCCGACUGAACUGGAGAUUGGGGCAGACUUCCGGUUCCGAUUGGAGGCCCGGCAUUGGUCGAUUCCCGACUGUGACAUCGUUUGUCGUGAAGUUUGAGUGAGGAGGAGCUCAGGUAGAGUGUGGUGGCUUUACUUCCGAUCUGGACCUCGCUCCUUCCGGUGGCAAUAAAGGCAGGUUUGGAACUAUUCUUCAUCGUGGCGGGUCCUAUCUCUGGAGAGAGGACGGACGUCCCGGGGGUGGCCUGGCAAAAAAAUCAACUGGUUAUUCCCUUAUUACCUGAGGAAAUCUCAGCAUCCCGUUAUUCUGAGUGUCUUUCCAAAAGUGUUAUUCACGUGGAUUCACAGAUAUUUAAAAGUACUAGUGUAUCGAAUGGUUGACCCUGACUGAGUGAGCAUAGUUUUCUUAGAGGAUCAGACACCCGUAUUCAAAUAAGUAAAUUAUUUAAAAAUAAAACUAACAUUCCAUACAGAUUUUGCAUUCAUGCUUUGAUUGGCAAGAUAUUGCCAUCACAGAAUCACUCCCGAAAUCAAAACAAGAAGGAUUUAAAUGCUGGGUGACACCUACAGCCUAUUAUAUGGAGGCUAUUUUAUAAUUUGUAUUACUUAAUUAAGUCACGCUAUCCUUCCCGUACUUAAUAAAUUUUUCACGGUACUUUGUGAACUAGAAGUACAUUGUACAGUGUAAGUGUCGCCAAAUCACCGAACCAAACAGUAGCUGAUUACGGCGAGUCCCAAUUGACUGGAACGGACUUACCUUAAACAUUGAUUUUGACAUUGAUUUGUAAAAUUUCUUUAUUAGUUUUCAAUUAAUAGUAUAUUUGGUCCUAUACAAUUGAGUUAAACACUAAAUGUC